UCCCCGCGGCCCCGGCCCCGGCGGCGUCCCCGCGCCUCCCUGCCGCCUUGGUAGCGCCGGUCCGCACUCGGCCUGACCCGGGACGUCACGGCGCCUGCCUGUGUUCCCAAUGAUAACUUGGCAGGAGCAGGGGGAAGCGGCCGGGUUUUUCCUGGGCUCGUUACCGGGGUGACAUUCAGUGCCGGGCGAGCCUCGCCGGUCACCGCCACGUCCCACCUGGAAAAAACACAAACAAAACCACGAAAAAAAAAAAAAAAAGCCAACAACAACAACAAAAAGGCGACUGCAGAAAAGGGGGGAUGGGGAGGGAGGGGUGCCAGCCCCCCACGGCCGGGAUGCGGGCGGCGGACGGGACACCUCGCCCAGGGGACGCGGGGACACACGCGCCGCCGGCCACUAGCAGGCCAUGUGCCGAGCGGCCGGCGGGGGCGGGGGAACGGGCACCGCACACAUACAAAAAAACCCCAGUAAAUAAAUAAAAAGACAAAAAAGCACCCGGAAUGCCAGAGGAGGCCGGGCGAGGAACGAGGAUGCCGCACCGCUGCUGCCGUGCAGGCCCGGCGCCGCGCCCCCCCAAUGCCUUGCAGGGCUCUGCAGGGAAGGCGGGGGAGCCCCCGGCGCACAGCGCCCCACGGCCCCGCCGGGAGCCGGGGUGCCCCGGGGGCGCUGCGGGCCGGGCAGCCCGGGCCGCACUGGGGCACCGGGCUGCGCAAUGGCGUCGCCGCCGAGCAGAGCCAAGCGCUGGCGCAGGCCCUGGCAGGGCUCGGUGAGAGGAGCCUGAGCCAUCGCUCCCACCUCUGCUGCUGGGGCAGCCGAGCAGCUGCUCCCGAAGGCGGGAGGGUUUGCGUUAAAGCAGAGCGAGCCGGGGCCUGCGGCAGCCCCGGGGCCGCUGUGACCGCCGAGCAGGCUGGCAGCGCUGUGCCCGGCCAUGGCAGCAGCCACACGCAUCCGCUGCCCUGGCUUCGUGCGCUUCGCAAAGCCAGAUCCUGCAAAUCUCCAUGAACGCUCCCCCUAAAUUCCGAGGACAUUUUCACACGUGAGACUUAACUCGCAUGCAAAAGUAUUCCCAGAACUAGGCCUCGCUUAAACUACCCAUGGCAACCUGAGUUUAAGUGCGUCUUCAUCUAAAAACCAGUUGUUACCACACAUUGCUGCAGCACCACACCACCUACUCUGUGACCGCAGAGCGUCCCAGCAGAGCCCUGAGACAAGUGUCCCUCUUCUGUGUUGCUUUUCACACCACCUAUUACAAUAACAAGUUACAACAUCGCCAGUGCACAGGUAACUAGCGCAGCGGAGUUCGUGAAGUGAUGCAUGUAGCAGGGCUGAAACUAAAUUAUUUUUUGCAACUGCCUCUGUUCUGCCUUAAUAUUAGCAUUAAUACUUUCAUUUUCCUCAUUUAAAUACAAUAAAAGGGAAGAUUGCCUUUGCUUAAUAUUGUUACUAAUUAGGUUUUGCAAUUCCAGUUUUUAUAAGGCGAUAAAGUCAGGGAAAAAGUCAGUGUACACCUUCUCUGUUGCUGGGCUCAGUGCCCUUAGCAGCAGCUUAUUUUAAAUGCUGGGAGCACCUACUGCAACUGGAAAAAGAGUUCGGGAAAAAGAAAUCAUUCUUGGAAUAUUGUACAGUCCAAGCAUCAUUUUAAGAAGCCUGAAAUUGAAAGCACUGGGGUGGUUUUUUUGGUUUUGUUUUUAAAUGUAAACUACUCAGGAUGCUUUCUGGCUUGGCUAGAAAGACAAGUUUGCUACAUGUUUCUGUUCUGAAAUAAUCUUUAACUGCUUUUAUGCUAAUUUUAACUCUAUGCAUUUUAACUCUACUGUCUCAACAGAGUACAUUACUGACACAUAUUUUUCAUAGAUUUGAGAAGCAGUGUGUAGAGCUUGAUUGUUGUCUGUAUUUCACCACUCAUUUUUAAGUGAGGCUCUUUUGAUUGACGUGGGGAAUUUGUGUAAAAGGGUAUGGCAUAGCUACCCAAGAUGCUAGUUACAAUUACACCAUACCUCAGCUAACAGAGAGAUUUUUCAUUGUGAUUGUUACACUCUUAAAAGUGAAUUAGUUAAUCAAAUUGCUAUUUUUGGAGUGUGCUUAAAGGAACAUUAAAAUGCAUUAAUUUCAUUAAAAUAAAUGAGCAGAUAGGUAACAAAACAAGUGCCAGCCAAAUAAGCAAGAUCUCAACUAUGGAGUCACAUCCAGCCCUGGUGAAGUCAUCUGAGUUGUGCAUGUCUACAGCACAUUUAAUUUGGCUUCUGCAGUCACACAGCUGACGCUUUAUUUGGUUGUCAGAGGUGUGUAUAUUAAAAAUGUGCGAGCCCUGCUUCUUCUCCAGUGUGAUUAACCUCUGAAGUUAAAUUCACCUGGUUCCCAUUUAGCUCUGCUGUGCAGUCCUAUCACACAUGCAGUUUUUGGUGUGUACACACUGGAGAUGCAGAGAGGCAUUCCCAGCCCCUGUAUCCGGCUAAGGGAUGUGAGUUGUGUCUGAAGUGAGGGUGUGAUGAGGUGGAUUUUAGCAGAGGCUGUUCACAACCAACUGCAUAUAUAUGCUCCAGUUAAUAGGCUCUACUGGAGUCUGUGCUACCAUCUUUCAUUACUGCUGUUACUCAUGCCAGUGAGAGUAGAGGAAGGGUUGGUGUGUCUGUAAUCAUACAUUCAUUUGCUAUGCAGAUAUAUCCUAAGAACCUCUCAGCCCAGGAAAAUUAUGCUGGAAUAAGGUCGGAUGUGAAUGUAAAGCCGAACUGUAUUCAGAUAGUUUAUUCAUUCUGGAAUAACCGAGUUGUUUCCUGGUUUCACUUAAUCCACUUUCAAAGUGGAUUAAGGUAAUUCAAGAAACUGAAUUGUUACACUGGUGUAAGAGUUGUCUACACAUGGGUUUAGUUGAACGUAAUUACUGCGGUACCUAAUAAGUGCCUUGAAAUAAUUUGGUGUGUAGACAAGUCCAGAGUCCCACAGGUGAAAACAACAGAAUUUAGUCAUUUUGUAUAACAUGAGGUUAAUUUAGCCCAACACUUGACCUACUUCUUUCCUCAUGAAGCAUAUUUAAUUCAUUACAGGUUUUUCUUCCUCAACAAAAACCCCACAACAGAAAUGUAUUUGUGAUCAGUUUCAAGAUAGCAAUGCCAUGUGUAUUCCACUAAAACAGUUCAAACAGUAUAUACUCUAAAUACCUUCUCAGCUGCCCUAAAGAGGACAAAAGGUUCUUUACUGAAAGAAACACUGGCUUCUCAAUCAUAAAUAUUUUGAGCGGGUUGUUCCAAACAAAAGGAAAAUGCACCCCAAAGCUCUGCUCUGCUCUCUGAGACACCCAUGAUCCAUUUGACUGCAUUCCAUUCAUAGCAAUAGCACCCAGUCUGAUUCAGCAAUUUUAGUUCCUGAAUGAGGAACCUCACAGACUCUCACAGAAGAGUUUGCAGUACAGCAAGGCCUUCAGGGGAGGCACCUUAAGAAUAGAGAGCUAAUUUAUAGUUUGCUUACAGAGGUCUGAAUCAGGGAGAACCUACCUGAAACCCAGGCAGCCACCCUGCCUCUGCUCUGAAUCAGGUGUAUCACAUCACUUGCAUAUGGGAAAGUGACUGAACUGAUAAUGAGAACAUACAAUAUGCUUUGUUACCUUGUGCCAAGCACAAAGUUUGUCAAACAUCAUUCAGUGUCAUUCCAUGCCAUGGAUACCCAUGGAACUAAGGUGAUUCUCUGAUGUGAAUGAAGCCUCCUAACCUUUAAACUUAAGAUUGUUUGUUGGUUUUCUUUUUUGGGGGGAGAAAAACCGAACAAAAACGUGUCACACGUUAGCCGGGGUCUUCCUUUACACAAAUGAAGCAGCCCCAGGUACUCGGUGUAACAGGCAGUGAUGCCUACAGGAUUCUCAUUUUGUGAUUACAAGCAUGGCUUUGCGCUACUGUGCUUGUCUUGGUUAAGGAUAUAGGGAAUGGAUUUCACCUACAACUCCCUCACGCCAAAUCUGCUUAUUUAAGUAAGAAUAAUUCUGGUAACAAAAUAAGCAUUGAGUGAAGAAGGUAAACGUGAACAAACGUAAAUGAGAAAUCAAGUACUUAGAUUCAGUGGUGCUGGAUGACUUUGACCAUGGGUCUUGAUAUUAAGGCUCAAAUAUUAAGCCUGAUAUUACACUCAGAUUGAAGGCAGUUAGAGUUUUAUAGGAGCGUGCCUGAUCUGAAGUCCCACUUGAAUAAAAAAAUUGGAUUGGAUUAUUGUACACUCUGCUUCUGCUGAGAGGUUUCUGAGCAUUGGAUCCACCUGCAGUGGUGGGGUAUCCUGGCUCUCCCCCACUCCUGUCAUUGCAGGGCCAUUACUCAUCCAGUGGGGAAGAUGUCUUUAAAUCUCCGAGACAAUGGCACACGCAAGAGGAAAUCUCAGCGCGCAGCCAAUGCCAGGCAACGAAGGAUCCUCUGUGGGAGUUGGUUAGUAGUGCCAAUGUUUGAUAUUUGUCGUAACAACCACCGACUGUUUUGUUUUUUGUUCUAACAAUGUGAAUUAUGCAUUAAACAUUAAUACAAGUGAGUGUACUUUCUUUUGAUCUUCAAGCAUAAUCAUUUCUAAUGAGAGCUUAUACAUGAGCAUUGAAACAAAUCCCUGAGUCAUGUGAAUUUACAUUGGUUUUACUCUGUGGGAAAGAUCCCACAUGAGUUACUCAUGUCUGUAAAACAUAACAUACUUAUAAAUCAGAAGAAAAAAAUGAGCUUGCAUUUGUCUCUUGGAACAUAAAUAUCUGCGUAGACAUUUGGCUUGUACCCUAGCAGUAAUGAAACAUUAAAAAGUUAAUUUAUCAGAGAUCAGGAUUCAGGGUGGGGCCCUCAACUAAUGUGAGAUCCAAAUCUGCUCAGAAUAAGCUCAGCUCUUAGUUUCUACCAUCUGGCUUUUUACAAGAGUUGAGUCUAGCAUCAGAGGAGUUUGAACUAGCUGUAAGUAAAGGGAUCAGGAUUUGGCUUGCUUGAUACAGAUAAAAGUUGCCAAACUGCCAUCACCAUGUUAUAAUAUGCCAGUACAAGCAGGCAAGCUGUGCAGUGCUAAGUGGCACCUCUCCAAAUGCCCUUGACAGCCAGUACGAGGCUGACCCAGGCCGGACCCACUGUAGAACCUGCUUGGCCAUGUUUAAUAUCUGCACUUCUUAAAACAACAGUCACAAAUGCUGCAUUCCGUAAAAACAUAAACACUGUGGAUUGUAUAACUGCCAAGACAGUUACUUAAAAUGCAAACAGAAUUUAAGCCCUUUCCCCUUUGACAUGCUGCACAAAUAUUAAACCAACAGGCGAUUAAGAGCCUACACUUCAGCAGCCGUGCUGUGUGUGCAAGGGACAGGCAGCACACUGGGGAAAGUACAGGUGCAAAACAGUACGUGAUGGGCCCAAUUCCUGGGGGUGCAGGUACUCACUACAAGAUUUCCAGAAUGCCUCUUGCCUUUCCAAACAGACCUCAAUGGCAAAGGUUGCAGGAGGUGACUAUCAAGAAGGUAUUAUGUUUAAUGGCAGAUAGGCUCUAUCUAUGAUUAAGGUCAUAUCUCAAGAAUUCUCAAAAGCCCAUUAAUGUAUUUUAUUCUUAAUGUGUAAGUGCUAAAGGAGUCCUGGAAGUCAGAAAUCCAGGAUUACCCCACAUAAUUCAAUGUUUUCACAGAAGCAUACAGUCAUGCUCUCUGCUACUUCCUUUCUCUUGCCUGAAUGACCUUAAAUGCUGAUGGUAGAGCUUCAAAAGGAGAGUGGAAGCAGCCUAUGCAUAGACUAGUUUGUAGACUGGAAGAAGAGCAAACACAAAACUCUUCAUCCCUGAACUUGAAUUCUUGGUCCAAGUGUUUUGUUUUAUAUAAUGACAGAGGAACUGAUGCUAUUGCAGUAGAGAAGAAAGCACCCAAGACACUCGGUUAGGGAACCUCAACACUGUAUGUAUGAAUUAUCUUCCCUGAGGUUGCACAACUUCACCUGGCAUGUUAAGUUAAAAGAUGGAUAGGUCAAUAUUAGGUCUUAAAUAAUUUUGGAUAGAAGGACCUCAACUCCAUCUAGACCCUGUUUGAAGCACAUUGACGUUAUCCAGCUUCAAAAGUUCAGUGAGUCUUCUGACUUUUCAGAAUGCGUCAGUACAUCCCCAGGCACACACAAAAAGCUGUGCUUGCAAAGAUGGGAUAGAUACAGGUAGAAAAUGGUGUACCAGAAGCAUGUAGGGAGGCCUCUAAGCAUCAGCCAGGGUGACAAAGCAUGCUGGCCCAUGGAUUCCCAGGCUGUAUUCACAGCCCUGGAAUGCCUGCUGGAAACACUCCCCUGUAAUUUAGCUCAUUUGGUGUGCAUUAAAGAUGCUCAUUUCUAGACCCCUAAGUGAAAUGUGAUACUGAACUCAUUCUUCCUCUUAAACCAGCAGGCCUCAGCAGAUGGCCAAGAGGCCAAUGGGAAGGAGAGAACGCCAGUUUUAAUCCAGUUGUUCUUGAUGGAAAAUUAUGAGAAAAGUGAAAAUAUCUUAUUCCACAGACCAAGGCAUUUACUUACAUUUAACUGCCUAACCUCAGUCAGAACCCUGAAUUCUGUUACUAUAUGUGAAUGUUACGAUAUGGUGAAGUUUUAUUUGGUAAUUACCUGGUCAGAGCCACAGACUAGAAACCAGAUAUGCAGCCAGUGAGAGCCCAGGGGAGUCAUACCAGUUUAUCCUCGGUGAGAAUCCAAUCUUCACUUUCAAAUUAAAAAAAUUGAUAAGUUGCAUUUUUCCAUGGUAUUUUGGUUAUAUCAUACAGGGGGGAAAAAAAAAAAAAGCAAGAAAAUAAAAAAUAAAGUUAUAGAUAUUUAUAUAACCAAGACAGAAGCAGAACCAAUGGGAAAUAUUUAGCAAUUAAAUUCUACAUCCAAAUUAUUAGGUAUUUCAGUGUUGGUGCCAUGUGCAUUACUGCUUAACUUUAGGGCAGCAAGGUAAGCUCAUUUUCUUGCCUCUGUCUUUUCAGCCACCAUUAGGGCUGCAACCUUCCCAUCCUCCAGGGAGAGGGGGAGAAGUUACACAAUGGGUGUUUUUCCAUGGGCGGAUGUCUAAAUGUGAAGGGAAACAAUUGAAUUUUAAUGACAAUUUUGAGACUCUUGAAGUUAAUUUCUGGGCAGUGCAGAAAUUAGUGGGGCUUGCUGCUGCCAAGAGCUGCAUGUUCUCCUCUCCUUCUGAUGUUAGCAGGAUUACAGGUCUCAGCUUUUGGCAGAAAUAACUCCCAAAAUAGUAGGUCCUUCUCUCUUGCCACAAAAGGCAGAGCGAGAGACCUGCUGCUGUCAGACCCAACCAAGUGUCAGUGCAGAGCAAUGGCUACAAAAACCAGGGUAACUGCACCAGAUUUACACUACCAGAGAUGUGUUCUCAUUAGGCAUUUACAGCAUAGUAGCACUAUCCAGGGUAGGAUGGGAAAUUUGUUAGGUGCUGCACAAAACGUUUCACCAGAAAAAGUUCCUGCAUCCAAAAGCACUACAAAAAUGAUUGCGGAAGGAGAGUGGCAAACAAUGGGAUAUCCUGGGAAAAAAAGUACACCAGUGAUUGCAGCAAAGGCAGCCAGCUAUGAAGGCUUUUCCUACACGCAGGGUAACGAUAAUUCUGCCAAGGAGGCAAGUUAUUUCCUUUUUAGCUAUGCUAUUUCCACUGCAUUACUGAAUCAUGGUUUGUUAAUAGCUUACAAACAUCAAGUUUAAAAAGCUUUAGGAGCUUUGUCAUAUCUAAGACAAUAUGUACCAAUUUAUCCAUUUCUGUAGAAAUACAUGCUCCAAUGGAUUUUGGGGUUGUGGUUGUCAGAGUGGGGUUUUUAAUGACUUUAAUAAAGAAGGGAUAAUUUUGGUGUUGUUUUUGUCUUCUUAGAAGAUUCAGAAAGGAAUCUAAAAGAUAGUCCCAAAAUCUGUAUAUAUCUACUUGUAGAUAGUGAAGUAGAAAAUAAAAGGUGCUUCAAAAUAGUGCCAGUCAUUUAAUCUGCUCUGUAGUUGGAUGGCAGAAUGCCAAGCAUUUUCACCAAAAGCAGGAGACUCAGUGCAGAGGACUGUCUUUUCAAUUUUGGGCUAUGCAAUCAUAGCCCCAAACAGGUCAUGGAAGGGAUCAGCCUUCCCCACGUUACCCCUCUGGUCAGAUGGCAGCUCCAGCCAAAAGGAGAGAAGAAAAGAGGACAGCCGUAGCCACCUGGCACUGCCUUUCUGCACAGCAAAAAGCAGGCACAGGAGGAGAGACCUGGUGUCCAGCCAGGUGUGGCAGGACUGGCAAGCCAGGCUGCCAAGCUGGAGCUCAUCCUCUGAAUGGGAUUCUGCAGGGGAGGGCACGGAGAAGGUAAUAUUGGGGAACUGCUUCCCUUGCAAAGAUCUCUGCGUCCCCAUUUACCCUCUCCUGUGAGAUGGCCAAACAUGGCUCUUAAUUUGGCAGAAAAUUUUCAGCCUGGUAUUAUGUUACUGUGUCCACCAGCCCACUACAAGGUGCACAUAAAACAUCACUGCUUAACAUGUUCUUGAAGUUCCCUUAUGCAACAGCCAGUUCUCAUUUUAGUUACAGAGAAUUAAAAGAAACAUCAGGAAAACUCACAUUACUGACUGACAUCAAGCCAUUUUUUUCCUAACACUGUUUUUUAUAUACAGUACCCAGAGUUUAGUUGUGUCCAUUAUUUCCUUCUACUCACUUAUUUCACUAAGGAUGAUUUUACUUAGAGCAAAUUUUUGCACUGUGCUACUGGAUACUAUGAUACAGUUCCUUGCUGUAGAACAAACUCACCAGUUUAGAAAAUCCACCAUAAUGUUUUGCUACUAAAUUUCUGCUGAGAAGUAGAGGCACUAGCUCACAAACAGCCCAUCCAAGUCCUUAUGGAACUUUCCCAAGAACCUCAGUGUUCUGCUUAUCAGGCUUGCACACACAGCUAAGUCUCAGCCCCUGCUCUGAGCCCUUGGGACAUGGGUGCUCAGUUAAGACUACAGAAAAAGGGAAAGCAUGACCACAAUCAACAGUCAUUCAUUUUAAUGGCUGCUAAUGUAAAAACAUAUUCCUAACCUUACUUGCUACAGCCAGAUACAUGAUAGGAGAACCAAUUUAUUUUCUUUUUAACUCUUUUGUACAAGUAAUGAUUUUUGAGAGAUUGGUAUAGUAAUUUCCAGUUGUUAGGAGACUGUUGCUUUACCUUUCUACCUGUGCAGAUAGGAUAUCAGAUUUCUUUCUGAGUUACCAAGACCACUCAGAGUUAACAUCCAGAAGCAGUUUCUUCUGUUCCAGCAGCACUUGCUGCUUCUUGGGGCAGUUCUUUAGGUACAAGUCCAAUAGAAAUGGCCCUUCACUAUUUUCCAUUACAGCUCAGGUUUUCUGCCUCAGCUUUAUGCUGCCACGAGCAUGUACAAAAUGGGAUCCUAGUUUUCCUCUCCAUGCCCUCAGUCCAAAAAAUGCUAUGCAAGAGUAAUUCCAUCUGAUUUCACAUAAUUCUGCUCUUGCACUUAAAAAUACAGGAGUUAACAUCCAAGAAGUUAUUUGGGUAGGGGAAAGAUUAACGGGUCUUCCAAUCCUCAUACAGGUGACCACAAGGUACAAGCUUUAUAGACAUUUGAUGAAUGAAGGGUUGCCACUAAAUGAAAGUGUGUCACAAAGCUCUAGAGAAAAUAGUUGAAAAAAAGAUUUUAGGAGUUUGUGAAGGCACCAUGAAAUGAAUGCACUUUAUGAGGCUACAGCGUAUGUGUAGCAGGUAUAUGCAAGCUGCUCUGUAUUCCUAAAUUGAUCACCAACAUAUCACUGGGAACCUGGGCUUCUGAGAGUCAUUUCUCUCUCUCUGUGCCUCCCUUAUAUGAAAGUCAGGAUAAUGUCUUUGGUGCCCCUUGGAUGAACAGAACAAGCUCAGCUGUUAAAUGUCAAGUAUUACAAUCAAUCACAGGUUUACCACAUCUGUUCUACCCAACCAUUUAAAAUUAUUAAUAUCAAAAUAAGCCACUCAAAAAUUAGUAAUGAUUGCAGAAGUCCCAGACUAUGGAACAUGAAUCUCAGUGAUUUCAAUGGAUGUGAUGCCAGCCUUAGAGAUAAGAUUAGCUUCAAUGUGAUUUGAAAGAUCCUAACACUCCAGCGACAAAUUAUUUGGUCUGCAUCUUCUGUUAGUUCAGGAAAGAUCUGUGCCUGUCCUGUCACAGUCCCUCAACUAUUGUUCCCCCCCACUUUGAAUAUUUUCCUAUGAACGCUGCUUGCUCCAUAACAAACAAUCAAAAAAACUUCAGACCCCCCAGCAUUCUAUGGUUGAAUUUAUAAUAUGUUUUCCCUCUUAAAUAAUUUUUAUUUCGAAAUAUUAAUGAAAAUUUAUUUGCCAGGUAAUCAGUAAAGGAAUUGAGAUAUAAUUCACUUGUUAUAGUCACUCUCACUUACAUGGGUCUACUACUGAUGAUCCUUCCUUACAUAAAUGCUUCAGGAAAGUUGGAUGCUACAUUUUCAGUAAUUUCUUUAUUCUACCCAGACAGAUAACAUUGGAUGCAUAAAGCUUCUCAUUUAUGUGGCACUUCCUUUAAAGCAAGUUUAUCCCCUUGAGUAAAUUUUUCCUUGGCUGUAAUGUGAGAUCUAUAUAUAGAUAGACAGAGAGGUGCACAGACAUCUGUAUCUGGCAUAGAUACCUGUAUUUAUCACGCUUAGUCCACUGGCUAGAUGUUAUUACAGAUUGGAAAAAGAAAAACAAAAAGUGAAAAUUUCUCUACUCAGUGUUUAGGAGAAGUUAGUAUCACCAAAUUUAGAAGUAUAAACUCAAUUUAUUUUUUGUCACCUGAAUACACCACCUGCCCCAAAAGUACCUGAUGUCAGUAGCAGUUCAUGCAUGUGUGCAGCUGCAAAAUCUUUUGAUAUCCAGAUGUCAGUGGAAACCAUCACUGGAUUACAGUAUUUUUUUGACAUAUGUAAAAGAUUCAGUCACCCUAAAAGUAUUUAACAAUUUCUACAGAGACACGAUAUGAAGAACUUCAAGUAUCUUUGAACAUAGAAGAGUCACUACUAUAUCCUACUAAAAUGCUUACUAUUUCCAACAUUUUUCAAGUAGACAAGAUGAAUAUGGAGGGAGGAGGGAAGAAAAUUAUUCAGAGAAAAUUCAAGUCAGAAAGAGAAAAAAAUAUUUUCUUAUUUAUAGUUCAGAGAUCUGUGCUAUUUUAAUUCCUCAUUUGAAGAGCUAUUUUAAAUUAUAAAUUGCAAGCCUAUUUUACAUGUCUUGCUCUUCUUGUGUGAGUACAAAAAUAUGAAAGAAUAAGGUAAAACAAGAUAGUAAAUAGUGAUUUAAUUUGUUCAGAAAGCAUUGAGUGAUAAGCAUCUGCAUGGAAUUACCUAGUUCAGUUCUACCCGAAUAUUCUCCUAACCGGAAGAAAACGUGCGAGUUCCUCACCCAUUUUAACAGCCAUCAUAAUGGAUGUUAAACUUAGCAGCAACAGUUCAUUGGCAGCUUCCCAAGACUGGCAUCAAUGUAAGGAUUUGUAUUUGAUAUGAAUGAAAAAAAAAAAAAAUCAUUGUUAUCCAGUAUUUGAAUGGAGGUUUGAAAUAGUUUAAUGCAAAACACCACAGAUGCCACUCAUGGACAUGAUAACUAUUUCAGGGGAGAGGGAGGAGGGAAAAUUUCCUACUGCAUAAUGAAAAAUAUAAAAAUAUUAACUAGAAACCUUGGUAGAAAUUAAAGCCUGAAACUACAGCUUUCUACAAAGAAGAUGAUGUCAGUUCUGUGUAUUUCUGCAAGAGAAAACCAAGACACUGGCAGGGAUUUCUAAGCAUUUCCACAACCCAAACAAUAAGAGGAAGCUAUUCAAAGUCACAAGAGUUUUGGUGUUAACUGCAUUGAAAACAUAACAGAGCCUUUAUCUUAAUCAGUUACUUAGAAUGAGCUGAUACUGAUUUAUCAUCUUUUCUCCCUCCAUGUUUGGAGCCACAGCCACUUACACAUUACUGACAUAUUUUCAAAAUCCCACACGUGGGCAAUAACAUGCAGUUCUUGCAAAUAUUUUGUGGGAAGGAGAUUGCCUGUAUUAUGCCAGUGCUGUUCUUCAGGGUCGUGAGUCACUAAGAAAAUACAGAGAAAUACUUAUUUUUGUGCUUUGAAUAAGAAGUCUUUUGUGACAGAAUAUAAGCAUGGGGAAGUAGUUUCUAAGUUUAUUAUUACUACUCUCUUUAUUAAGAAUGGCAAAUUUCGAAACAGUUGAAAUACUUAAAUGGAAGCACGCCACUAUCGCCAGUUUUUUCUGCAAAUGUUCAGUCAACAUCCUAAUUGUAGUCCUAUCCUAUAGGAUGAAAUGAGCUCCAGCUCUCUCCAUGCAUGAUAUAGCAGUAAGAAAAAAAUAAAAGGAAAAAAUCGAAACACUAUUUAUUCAGCAACUGAACCUUAGCCAAAAUGUACUACUAUUUACUAUGGUUAGUGGUAAUUUUACACAUAUAAUAAUCACAUAAGGCACUUAUAACAUUUGAAAGCCUGAGAUUUGCAUUAUCAUGUAGGCUCUUUUAAUUUUGUUAGGUAUAUACUGACAGAACUAAACGUGGGCAUUUACAGAAAAAAAAUCAGCUUUGUUAAGGCUGAGAUAAAUGAAUAAAAGAAAAUAAAUACAAUAUUAAAGUUGUUAAUGCUCCAUUCUCAACAAAAUUCUUAUAGUUAUGUGCUCUCCUUUCCUUUCUAUCAACAUGUAAUUCUCUGCAGGGAUGUCAAGGGGACCAUUCUGUUUUCCUAAAGUUAGCAAGCCAACAUCUGCUAAAUGCAGCACGACAUGCUGUUUACCUUUGUUGUAAACUUGAAGCUUUUCCAUUUAAGAACUGUAUAAAUGAAUCAGUAUUCAUUCACACCUAUGCCUAGAAGUAUCUAUUACAAAGCAGAGAGUGUUCAUUUUUAAUGUCCUCCUUAUUCUGAUUUUAUGCCUUAUUCCUCUGCACUGAUGCUGUUUGGAAUUGCUCUAGAUACAGUAACAAAUGCAAGGGAAGUAAAACAAAAAACAAUGGGGAUUUCCCCCUCGUUUUCUGCAAGUACUUAUGGACAGAAAAAGGUGAUAAAAAUGCAGAGGUAAAAGGUCUCGCCUGACAUCUCAUUUAAACAACUCGGCAGUUUAACAAACUGCUACAAAACAGAAGUUUUGUCCCACGCUCCAAAAACCAAGAUGAUAAAAUCCCAAACUAUAUGUUUAGAUUUGCCUUCUAAAAUCCUGUGCAAUAUUUAGCAACUUGUAUUUUAUGGCAGAAUUUCCAAGGGAAAUAGUAGGGGCUUGUCUGUUUUGUUUUGAUUUUUUAAAAUAUAUAUACAUUUCUCACCUGCUGAAAGGAAAUCUACCUACAUCAGCAAAAAGCACAGGUAAAAAGAAAAGACUAAUUAACAUAAAAAAUGCAACCACCCUUUCUUUAGUGAAUGCUUUUGAAUAAGAAAAUAAUUUUUCUGAUGCUGCAGAAACCCUGUAUUUGAACGAGCACCCACUAACAUCACUUGUCCCUCUAAUCAUCAUCAUUACUGAGACAGAAACAGCCUUUGUUGAUCACACGCAGCAUUCUCUAAAAUCCAUUUUUCCAAUUAAGUUUUUAUUCUCCUUCUUACUCGUCUGCUUUUGUUUAGUUUUGAGCACAGUUACAGCUGUACUUGGGUUAACUUGUGGCAGUAAGACAUUUGCAGAAGCUGUUGCUCUCAGUAACGUUGGCUAUUACUGAUUACAGCAUUGCUUAAGGCAGAUUCCUUGUUCUAAAUGGCAUUGGACAUUUUUACCUGGAUAUUGCAACACCACAUUAUGAGCACUGGGAUUUAAACAGAACAGUAAGCAGUGCUGCUGGCCUCUGGCUUUCAACAAUAAGCCAGUAGACUUUUGGGUGGAGACACAGCUAGAAAAUCGAGCUAUCACCAAAGUAUCUGAUGCAAUGCCUGUAUCUUUUUCUAACAUGCUACUGACCAAUUAUUACAUUCAGCUGCGAACCACGGUCCUAAAUAAUAAAGGUCAAAGUUUUCAUGG